GGAAUCUUCCACAAUGGACGCAAGUCUGAUGGAGCAACGCCGCGUGAGUGAAGAAGGUCUUCGGAUCGUAAAACUCUGUUGUUAGAGAAGAACGUGUGUGAGAGUGGAAAGUUCACACAGUGACGGUAACUUACCAGAAAGGGACGGCUAACUACGUGCCAG
rnacentral:rRNA from 1 species